rnacentral:rRNA from 1 species
UACGAAGGGGGCUAGCGUUGUUCGGAAUUACUGGGCGUAAAGCGCACGUAGGCGGAUAUUUAAGUCAGGGUGAAAUCCCGGGCUCAACCCCGGAACUGCCUUUGAUACUGGGUAUCUUGAGUUCGGAAGAGGUGAGUGGAAUUGCGAGUGUAGAGGUGAAAUUCGUAGAUAUUCGCAGGAACACCAGUGGCGAAGGCGGCUCACUGGUCCGAUACUGACGCUGAGGUGCGAAAGCGUGGGGAGC